rnacentral:rRNA from 1 species
GUUUGAUCCUCUGCUCAGGAUGAACGCUGGCGGCGUGCCUAAUACAUGCAAGUCGAACGAAUCUUCUUCGGAAGAUGAGUGGCGAACGGGUGAGUAAUACAUAGGUAACCUGCCCCUGUGCGGGGGAUAACAGGAGGAAACUCCUGCUAAUACCGCAUAGCCAUGAGCACCGCAUGGAGCUCAUGCCAAAUAUCCUUCAGGGGAUAGCGCAGGGAUGGACCUAUGGCGCAUUAGCUAGUUGGCGGGGCAACGGCCCACCAAGGCAACGAUGCGUAGCCGGCCUGAGAGGGCGGACGGCCACAUUGGGACUGAGACACGGCCCAGACUCCUACGGGAGGCAGCAGUAGGGAAUUUUCGGCAAUGGGGGAAACCCUGACCGAGCAACGCCGCGUGAGCGAAGAAGGCCUUCGGGUCGUAAAGCUCUGUUGUAAAGGAAGAACGUCGCAUGCAGGAAAUGGUGUGCGAGUGACGGUACCUUACCAGAAAGCCACGGCUAACUACGUGCCAGCAGCCGCGGUAAUACGUAGGUGGCGAGCGUUAUCCGGAAUCAUUGGGCGUAAAGAGGGAGCAGGCGGCCGCAAGGGUCUGUGGUGAAAGACCGAAGCUAAACUUCGGUAAGCCAUGGAAACCGGGCGGCUAGAGUGCGGAAGAGGAUCGUGGAAUUCCAUGUGUAGCGGUGAAAUGCGUAGAUAUAUGGAGGAACACCAGUGGCGAAGGCGACGGUCUGGGCCGCAACUGACGCUCAUUCCCGAAAGCGUGGGGAGCAAAUAGGAUUAGAUACCCUAGUAGUCCACGCCGUAAACGAUGGUCACUAAGUGUCGGGGGUCAAACCCCGGUGCUGCAGUCAACGCAAUAAGUGACCCGCCUGAGUAGUACGUUCGCAAGAAUGAAACUCAAAGGAAUUGACGG